ACGCAGGGUAGCCAAGUGCGGAGCGGAUAACCGCUGAAAGCAUCUAAGUGGGAAGCCCACCUCAAGAUGAGUGCUCUCACUACUUUAAGUAGGUAAGGUCACGGGAAGACUACCCGUUAAUAGGUGUUCGGUGGAAAUGCAGUAAUGUAUGCAGCCUAGACACACUAACAGACCGAGGACUUGACCUC
rnacentral:rRNA from 1 species